rnacentral:rRNA from 1 species
UACGAAGGGUGCAAGCGUUAAUCGGAAUUACUGGGCGUAAAGCGUGCGUAGGCGGUUUGUUAAGUCUGUUGUGAAAGCCCCGGGCUCAACCUGGGAAUGGCAAUGGAUACUGGCAGGCUAGAGUGUGUCAGAGGAUGGUGGAAUUCCCGGUGUAGCAGUGAAAUGCGUAGAGAUCGGGAGGAACACCAGUGGCGAAGGCGGCCUUCUGGACCAGUACUGACGCUCAUGCACGAAAGCGUGGGGAGCAAACAGG